rnacentral:rRNA from 1 species
AUGAUGACACAAUGUGAAGAUGGUCAUAACGUCGUACUGUAUUCUGAUUGGCCUGUGAACUCUCACGCGGAUCAUGCAUUGAACACCGUCGGAUGUUCGUCGAUCCAACGGCGGUCCUCAGCCCUUCCACACCAUCCCCGAAACCCUAGCUCUGGCCUGUGCCUUCCUACCUCUAACUCGCGCAGGUGCAGGCGCAGGGCACAACGCCCAAUCCAAGGCGGCGCCGUCCUCGUGCAGCUCAGCCUGGCGGACCUCAGGGCCGUCUCCAUGCUCGGCCGUGGUGCCAAGGGCGUCGUCUUCCACGUCGUGCCCGAGGGCGAGGGCGGUGCCGGCGACGUUGCCAUGGCGCUCAAGUCGGUCUCGCGGGAGGCCGCGCGGCACAAGAAGAGCGGCGGGAGUGGCGGCGGGAACGGACACCGGAGGAUUUGGUUCGAGUGUGACGCGCUGAGAUGGGAGGAUGUGGAGGUGGGCGAGCCUGGGGACGGCGAGAUCCAGAUCUGGAACACCGCCAUCGGUGUCAACUUCAUCGACAUCUACUUCCGCAAGGGCGUCUACCCCGCUCCCCUCCCCUUCACCCCCGUUGCCACUCAAACCAACACUGUCCCACUUACCAUUUUACUAGUUGACACACCAUGGUUUGAUCGAUCGUCAGUUGGUGUGAACAUUGGUGCUGCUGCCGCCGCUGUGCCAGUUGGAGGUGCUGCUGCUGCAUGUGGUGGAGCUGUAGCUGCAACCCCAAAGGGCAAACCUUCAUCAGGCACAACCCCAUAA